AGGCAGCAGUGGGGAAUAUUGCACAAUGGGCGAAAGCCUGAUGCAGCAACGCCGCGUGAGGGACGACGGCCUUCGGGUUGUAAACCUCUUUUAGUAGGGAAGAAGCGAAAGUGACGGUACCUGCAGAAAAAGCACCGGCUAACUACGUGCCAGCAGCCGCGGUAAUACGUAGGGUGCAAGCGUUGUCCGGAAUUAUUGGGCGUAAAGAGCUCGUAGGCGGUUUGUCGCGUCUGCUGUGAAAUCCGGAGGCUCAACCUCCGGCCUGCAGUGGGUACGGGCAGACUAGAGUGCGGUAGGAGAGAUUGGAAUUCCUGGUGUAGCGGUGGAAUGCGCAGAUAUCAGGAGGAACACCAAUGGCGAAGGCAGAUCUCUGGGCCGUAACUGACGCUGAGGAGCGAAAGCAUGGGGAGCGAACAGGAUUAGAUACCCUGGUAGUCCAUGCCGUAAACGUUGGGAACUAGAUGUGGGGGCCAUUCCACGGUCUCCGUGUCGCAGCUAACGCAUUAAGUUCCCCGCCUGGGGAGUACGGCCGCAAGGCUAAAACUCAAAGGAAUUGACGGGGGCCCGCACAAGCGGCGGAGCAUGCGGAUUAAUUCGAUGCAACGCGAAGAACCUUACCAAGGCUUGACAUAUAGAGGUAACGUGCAGAAAUGUACGCCCCGCAAGGUCUCUAUACAGGUGGUGCAUGGUUGUCGUCAGCUCGUGUCGUGAGAUGUUGGGUUAAGUCCCGCAACGAGCGCA
rnacentral:rRNA from 1 species